AUGAACGCUGACAGAAUGCUUAACACAUGCAAGUCAACUUGAACUUCGGUUUGGGUGGCGGACGGGUGAGUAACGCGUAAAGAACUUGCCUCACAGCUAGGGACAACAUUUGGAAACGAAUGCUAAUACCUGAUAUUAUGAUUUUAGGGCAUCCUAGAAUUAUGAAAGCUAUAUGCACUGUGAGAGAGCUUUGCGUCCCAUUAGCUAGUUGGAGAGGUAACGGCUCACCAAGGCGAUGAUGGGUAGCCGGCCUGAGAGGGUGAACGGCCACAAGGGGACUGAGACACGGCCCUUACGCCUACGGGAGGCAGCAGUGAGGAAUAUUGGACAAUGGACCAAGAGUCUGAUCCAGCAAUUCUGUGUGCACGAUGAAGUUUUUCGGAAUGUAAAGUGCUUUCAGUUGGGAAGAAAAAAAUGACGGUACCAACAGAAGAAGUGACGGCUAAAUACGUG
rnacentral:rRNA from 1 species